UACGGAGGGUGCAAGCGUUUGUUCGGAUUUAUUGGGCGUAAAGCGCGUGUAGGCGGUUUCUUAAGUCUGAUGUGAAAGCCCUGGGCUCAACCCAGGAAGUGCAUUGGAUACUGGGAGACUUGAAUACGGGAGAGGGUAGUGGAAUUCCUAGUGUAGGAGUGAAAUCCGUAGAUAUUAGGAGGAACACCGGUGGCGAAGGCGGUCUCCUGGGGCUCACUUGACGCUGAGGCGCGAAAGCUGGGGGAGCGAACGGG
rnacentral:rRNA from 1 species